rnacentral:rRNA from 1 species
AGUCGAGCGAUGAAGCACCUUCUGGGUGUGAAUUAGCGGCGAACGGGUGAGGAACACGUGAAGAAUCUGCCUUCAACCCUGGGAUAACUCCGGGAAACCGGGGCUAAUACCGGAUAUGAGCCUUGAUCGCAUGAUCGGGGCUGGAAAGUUUUUCGGUUGAAGAUGACUUCGCGGCCUAUCAGCUUGUUGGUGAGGUAAUGGCUCACCAAGGCGACGACGGGUAGCCGGCCUGAGAGGGCGACCGGCCACACUGGGACUGAGACACGGCCCAGACUCCUACGGGAGGCAGCAGUGGGGAAUAUUGGGCAAUGGAGGAAACUCUGACCCAGCGACGCCGCGUGAGGGAUGAAGGCCUUCGGGUUGUAAACCUCUUUCAGUAGGGAAGAAGCGAAAGUGACGGUACCUACAGAAGAAGCACCGGCUAACUAUGUGCCAGCAGCCGCGGUAAUACAUAGGGUGCAAGCGUUGUCCGGAAUUAUUGGGCGUAAAGGGCUCGUAGGUGGUUCGAUACAUCGGAUGUGAAAAUCAGGGGCUCAACCCCUGACCUGCAUCCGAUACGGUCGAGCUAGAGUUUGGUAGGGGAGACUGGAAUUCCUGGUGUAGCGGUGGAAUGCGCAGAUAUCAGGAGGAACACCGAUGGCGAAGGCAGGUCUCUGGGCCAAUACUGACACUGAGGAGCGAAAGCGUGGGGAGCGAACAGGAUUAGAUACCCUGGUAGUCCACGCCGUAAACGGUGGGCGCUAGUUGUGCGAACCCUCCACGGUUUGUGCGACGCAGCUAACGCAUUAAGCGCCCCGCCUGGGGAGUACGAUCGCAAGAUUAAAACUCAAAGGAAUUGACGGGGCCCCGCACAAGCAGCGGAGCAUGCGGCUUAAUUCGACGCAACGCGAAGAACCUUACCAAGGCUUGACAUAUACAGGA